CUGAUUUGUAGGUCUAACCAGCCAGUUGAAUGUGGAAAAAAAGAAAAGUGCACUAUAUAGGCAAGGGUGCAUAUGAUUUGGAACAGGCCUAAUCAUCAAUGCAUGAUGGGAAAAUUUAGGAAAGAUAAGUGAUACAUCCGCAUACAUGUGGCACAAGUUGUUACGUCGAACCGCGCGCGCUGAGUGACACUAAUUAAGUGUAUCACCUGUCCUGGCGUAAUUCUUUGGCACUCCUCUUUACGCACUGCGUUUUGGUUGUUGUUUCUUUCUUUCUUUUUUCUUUCUUAGACGUGGCGUCUGAUCUUUUUUUUUUUUGGUCGCGGUUAGAUUAUGAAAUCACGACAGUUCAGUCUGAAAUCCGACACUUUUUUAGGGAACACUUUUAAUUUCAGUACCUGGCAACGCUGUAGGGGCGGAAACUUCAUAACAGCGCCGAAAUACGCGACUCCAAGAAUACGCGCAACUAAAACCAACCCGAGCUGAACUCUCCGGCAGACCGAACAGAGCCCACAAACCCAAACCCAGGGAGAGUUUCCAUUACAAAAAGAAGAAAAAUGUAGUCUCCAUGCAUGGAUUGUAACUGUCCGAGUUGAGAGGACUUCAGCACGAAUCAUUCAGGCGUGUGAACAUGGACCAAAAAUGACAAAUGAACUUGAGUAUUCAGAGACAGGUGGAGUCCUGCGGGGAACGAAAGCUCGUGCUGCAGAAUUUAUUCCCGAUCGAGCGCAUCAGCACCGUGUCCUGCACCCGUUUACCGAGGAACAUAAGUGGUCAGCUGCACACUGAAUUACGGAACCUCGUGAGGGACAUAACGGUAUCGCUGGGAUGUCCCUGUUCUGCAAACCAGACCGAGCAGGCAGAGAGGUGGCCGGACUCCCAGCCUUUACAGAAGAAGUUUUGCCGACUGAAACGUUUGCUCAUGACGAUACAGAAAGCGUACGAACAAUACAACUCGGCUUAGUAAGUGUGGGCCACCGUGAGCGCCGAUUGAAAGAUGUUCUAAAUCUGAAAUAAUAAUAAUAAAAACAAUAGUAAUAAUAAAUAAAAUAUCGAAGCAUGGCUUCCUUACAAAGCUUUGCAUGGCACCUUGUAUAUGAGAGGACAUACACUCAUAACGAAGUGGCGAGUGAAACACGCCCGCUGCUUGGAGAGCAAAAAUCAGCCGGAUGCAGGAUCCAUCAUGA
ensembl:lncRNA